rnacentral:rRNA from 1 species
UACGUAGGGUGCGAGCGUUGUCCGGAAUUAUUGGGCGUAAAGGGCUCGUAGGCGGUUUGUCGCGUCGGGAGUGAAAUCAUCUGGCUUAACUGGGUGCUUGCUUUCGAUACGGGCAGACUAGAGGUAUGCAGGGGAGAACGGAAUUCCUGGUGUAGCGGUGAAAUGCGCAGAUAUCAGGAGGAACACCGGUGGCGAAGGCGGUUCUCUGGGCCGAUACUGACGCUGAGGAGCGAAAGCGUGGGGAGCGAACAGG